AAGCAGGAAGGCCUGGACCGGGGGCAGGGAGGGCUCUAGGGCCCUAGGGGCCUUUUCAAACCCCGAGUUUAGGUGUUGUAUUAGUGUCUUGUGGCUGAUGUACCAAUCACAGACUUAGUGGCUUAAAACAACACAAACGUCUUCUCUCACAGUUCUGGAGGCCACAAGUCUGAAAUGUGUCUCAUUCAACUUAAAGCAAGACACUGGCAGGGCUGGCUCCUGCUGGAGGCUCAGGGGAGUCUGUUUCUUGCCUUCUCUGGCAUCUCAAGGCACCUGCCUUUCUUGGCUCGUGGCCCCUCCUCCACCUUCAAAGGCAGUGGUGGGCGGUGAGGUCUCUCCCAUCACAUCCACCUGGCAAUUACGCUCUCAGCCCACCUGGAUAAUUCAGGAUCACCCCCACCACAUCUCAAAGCCGGCUACUUUCAGGAGCCUUAACCCCCACUCGCUGGCCCGGAGCCUGCUGUGCAAACAUCCUCACUUAAUUGAUCCACACUGGUCGAGUCCUGUCUCUUAACGCUGUGUUAAACAAAGUCCCUGCUUUUCUGGAGCUGAUAUUCUCUUGGGUAGAGACAAGCAACAAACAAGUAAAUGCACGCUGAUGUCAGUGCAUCCGCCUGCCAGAGCCCUGCGCCAUUCGCCUGGAUUCUGGGGAAACAAGACCCUUUUGCUCUGGACCUGGGCUCCUCCUGAAAUUUGUGUUGAAGAUGCUGCCUCAAAGCCACAGUGUGCAGGUGGCGGGCAGGGGGAGGUGACAGCCAGUGCACUGAGGGAUAUGAUGUCUGCGGAAAAUGAAAAACCAGAAUGAAACCAAAGACAAGUCAGUGUUCUUUUCCUGAUUCCC
rnacentral:lncRNA from 10 species